UCCAACUCAAUAUCAUAUAUUCUCUACAUAACAGUUAUAGACAUUUGUUGGAAUCUCCACGUCAUCAUGAGUGAGCCAAAAACUAUUUGCAGAUAAACCAAUAAUACUAUUAUUAUACAACAGCAAGUACUUUGGAUUCUCUUCUGGUUUUUCUUUGGGUGUGUGUAUAGGCAACGUGUCAAAGUCACAGUACUUGAUCAAUAAUAGGAAAAUAAUUGUAAUAAGUUGAAGCCUCUGUCUGGUGAGAAAGAUGAAACGUGGAUGCAGAUCAGAAAAGGACAUUCACAAUCCUUUAAAUAAUACUGAUAUCUAUGCGUGUGGAAUCUGCAGGUUUGAAUUAUAAUGGCUUAAAAAUGUAAUAAAAUUGUGUGCACAACGUGACUCCGUGUCCUCACUUUUUAAAAUUAAACACAAACAUACACCAUAACCCAUCCAUCCAUCCCUCUGUUUGUUUUAUUCUUAAUAUAUGAUUCGUAAGAUCAAAAUAAAAAGAUUUCCAAUACCGUCUCUUUCUCCAAGUUCAACAAAUAAAUGACAUGCAAUUUAAGAUUAAUUCUGGACAUUAAGCCUACAGUUAAUCUCAUGAUGUCAUUUCACUCUUUACAACACUGAUAAAGGUGAUUAGCUUUGGAAUCUCGUUUUUCAAUCUUUUACCUUUUCCAACAUAUUCUCCUAAUGAUGAGAAAAGGUCUGAUAUAAACAACAGAAAAACAAAUGGCACCAGCCAAAGCAAAGAUGAUAUCCUUUUAAAAUCAAAGAAAGAG
rnacentral:lncRNA from 1 species